CAACAGAGAUUCUACAGGAAAAAUUCCCUGGAAGAAUUAAAGUGCACAAAGAAACUAGGCUAGCAUAGAGCGAUUUGCACAUCUUGACUUGCCCGCUGCAUUGCGGGAUCUUGGUUACAACACAUGGUGAUUUUGAUCAGUUUAAAGUGCAGCUGAGGGCUUAAAGCCUCUUUACACUGGUCGUGGACGGCCUGUGACAUCCAGGACUGAGUCCGGCAGCAAAGAACUGAUUCCUCUCACAUACACAGCAUCGGUCCAGAAUCUGCAGUGUGUUUUGACAGAGGAGGAGGACACAGAAGUUGUCAAAAUGACUA